UACGUAGGGUGCAAGCGUUGUCCGGAAUUAUUGGGCGUAAAGAGCUCGUAGGCGGUCUGUCGCGUCUGGUGUGAAAAUCCAGGGCUUAACCCUGGACCUGCAUCGGGUACGGGCAGACUAGAGUGCGGUAGGGGAGAUCGGAAUUCCUGGUGUAGCGGUGAAAUGCGCAGAUAUCAGGAAGAACGCCCGUGGCGAAGGCGGCUCUCUGGGACGGUACUGACGCUGAGACGCGAAAGCGUGGGGAGCGAACAGG
rnacentral:rRNA from 1 species